rnacentral:rRNA from 1 species
AUUGAACGCUGGCGGCAUGCUUUACACAUGCAAGUCGAACGGUAACAGGCCUUCGGGUGCUGACGAGUGGCGAACGGGUGAGUAAUGCAUCGGAACGUGCCCAAUCGUGGGGGAUAACGUAGCGAAAGUUACGCUAAUACCGCAUAAGCCCUGAGGGGGAAAGUGGGGGACCGCAAGGCCUCACGCGAAUGGAGCGGCCGAUGUCAGAUUAGCUAGUUGGUGGGGUAAAGGCUCACCAAGGCGACGAUCUGUAGCGGGUCUGAGAGGAUGAUCCGCCACACUGGGACUGAGACACGGCCCAGACUCCUACGGGAGGCAGCAGUGGGGAAUUUUGGACAAUGGGCGCAAGCCUGAUCCAGCCAUGCCGCGUGCGGGACGAAGGCCUUCGGGUUGUAAACCGCUUUCAGCCGGAAAGAAAUCGCUGUUUUUAAUACGGUACAGUAGGAUGACGGUACCGGAAGAAGAAGCACCGGCUAACUACGUGCCAGCAGCCG